rnacentral:rRNA from 1 species
AUUGAACGCUGGCGGCAGGCCUAACACAUGCAAGUCGAACGAGUGGCGGACGGGUGAGUAAUGUCUGGGAAACUGCCUGAUGGAGGGGGAUAACUACUGGAAACGAUCUCUAAUACCGCAUACUAUCAGCUGAGCCUAGGUGGUAUUCGCUAGUUGGUGGGGUAAAGGCACACCUAGGCGACGAUCCGUAGCUUGUCUGAGAGGAUGAUCAGACACACUGGAACUGAGACACGGUCCAGACUCCUACGGGAGGCAGCAGUGGGGAAUAUUGCACAAUGGGCGAAAGCCUGAUGCAGCCAUGCCGCGUGUAUGAAGAAGGCCUUCGGGUUGUAAAGUACUUUCAGCGGGGAGGCGUUACCCGCAGAAGAAGCACCGGCUAACUCCGUGCCAGCAGCCGCGGUAAUUC